rnacentral:rRNA from 1 species
AGCGAACGCUGGCGGCAGGCUUAACACAUGCAAGUCGAGCGGGCAUCCUUGUGGUGUCAGCGGCAGACGGGUGAGUAACGCGUGGGAACGUGCCCUUCGGUUCGGAAUAACUCAGGGAAACUUGAGCUAAUACCGGAUACGUGCGAGAGCAGAAAGGUUUAUCUGCCGAAGGAUCGGCCCGCGUCUGAUUAGCUAGUUGGUGAGGUUAUGGCUCACCAAGGCGACGAUCAGUAGCUGGUCUGAGAGGAUGAUCAGCCACACUGGGACUGAGACACGGCCCAGACUCGUACGGGAGGCAGCAGUGGGGAAUAUUGGACAAGGGGGGCAACCCUGAUCCAGCCAUGCCGGGUGAGUGAUGACGGCCUUAGGGUUGUAAAGCUCUUUUCUUCGGGACGAUAAUGACGGUACCGGAGGAAUAAGCCCCGGCUAACUUCGUG